rnacentral:misc_RNA from 1 species
ACUCCGUUGGUGAACCAGCGGAGGGAUCAUUACCGAGUGCAAACUCAUAACCCUUUGUGAACCUAUAUCUGUUGCUUCGGCGGCUCGCUCUCGGGCGAGCCCGCCGGUAAUAUCAGUAUCUCUGUUUGAACCCGACGAUACUUCUGAGUGUUCUUAGCGAACAGUUAAAACUUUUAACAACGGAUCUCUUGGCUCUA